UACGUAGGUCCCGAGCGUUGUCCGGAUUUAUUGGGCGUAAAGCGAGCGCAGGUGGUUUAUUAAGUCUGGUGUAAAAGGCAGUGGCACAGCCAUUGUAUGCAUUGGAAACUGGUAGACUUGAGUGCAGGAGAGGAGAGUGGAAUUCCAUGUGUAGCGGUGAAAUGCGUAGAUAUAUGGAGGAACACCGGUGGCGAAAGCGGCUCUCUGGCCUGUAACUGACACUGAGGCUCGAAAGCGUGGGGAGCAAACAGG
rnacentral:rRNA from 1 species